CGGUCCAUGGCCGAAUUGGCCAAGGCAACGCCGUUUAGAGGCGAACACGCGGGUUCGAGUCCCGCUGGAACUG
rnacentral:tRNA from 1 species